rnacentral:tRNA from 1 species
GGGGCUGUAGCUCAGUGGCAUAGCACUCGCCUAACGUGUGAGGCUCAGGGUUCGAUCCUUAGUACCA